UCCCUGGAGGACGGGUGGUUAGGCCUUGGCGUUCUCACGGCCGCGGCCUGGGUUCGAUUCCCAGCCAGGGAA